rnacentral:rRNA from 1 species
GACGAACGCUGGCGGCGUGCUUAACACAUGCAAGUCGAACGGGAAGGCCCUGCUUUUGUGGGGUGCUCGAGUGGCGAACGGGUGAGUAACACGUGAGUAACCUGCCCUUGACUUUGGGAUAACUUCAGGAAACUGGGGCUAAUACCGGAUAGGAGCUCCUGCUGCAUGGUGGGGGUUGGAAAGUUUCGGCGGUUGGGGAUGGACUCGCGGCUUAUCAGCUUGUUGGUGGGGUAGUGGCUUACCAAGGCUUUGACGGGUAGCCGGCCUGAGAGGGUGACCGGCCACAUUGGGACUGAGAUACGGCCCAGACUCCUAAGGGAGGCAGAAGUGGGGAAUAUUGCACAAUGGGCGGAAGACUGAUGCAGCAACGCCGCGUGCGGGAUGACGGCCUUCGGGUUGUAAACCGAUUUCGCCUGUGACGAAGCGUGAGUGAAGGUAAUGGGUAAAGAAGAACCGGCUAACUACGUG